rnacentral:siRNA from 1 species
UGAAAUGGGAUUAAACGAGCAACA